rnacentral:tRNA from 1 species
UCCUUAGUGGCUCAGUGAUAGAGAAUCUGCCUGCCAAUGCAGGAGACACAGGUUCAAUUCCUGAUCUGGGAA